AGAAUCAACGCUGGCGGCGUGCCUAACACAUGCAAGUCGAACGAGAAAGUGGAGCAAUCCAUGAGUAAAGUGGCGCACGGGUGAGUAACACGUGAAUGAUCUACCUCCGAGUGGGGAAUAACUGAGAGAAAUCUUAGCUAAUACCGCAUAACACUUACGAGUCAAAGCAGCAAUGCGCUUGGAGAGGAGUUCGCGGCCGAUUAGUUAAUUGGCGGGGUAAUGGCCCACCAAGACGAUGAUCGGUA
rnacentral:rRNA from 1 species